UGGGGAAUAUUGCACAAUGGGGGAAACCCUGAUGCAGCGACGCCGCGUGAGUGAAGAAGUAUUUCGGUAUGUAAAGCUCUAUCAGCAGGGAAGAGAAUGACGGUACCUGACUAAGAAGCCCCGGCUAACUACGUGCCAGCAGCCGCGGUAAUACGUAGGGGGCAAGCGUUAUCCGGAUUUACUGGGUGUAAAGGGAGCGUAGACGGCAUAGCAAGUCUGAAGUGAAAUACCCGGGCUCAACCCGGGAGCUGCUUUGGAAACUGUUAGGCUGGAGUGCUGGAGAGGCAAGCGGAAUUCCUAGUGUAGCGGUGAAAUGCGUAGAUAUUAGGAGGAACACCAGUGGCGAAGGCGGCUUGCUGGACAGUAACUGACGUUGAGGCUCGAAAGCGUGGGGAGCAAACAGG
rnacentral:rRNA from 2 species